rnacentral:rRNA from 1 species
CAGCAGCCGCGGGAAUACGUAGGGUGCGAGCGUUAAUCGGAAUUACUGGGCGUAAAGCGUGCGUAGGCGGUGAGUUAAGUCUGCUGUGAAAUCCCCGGGCUCAACCUGGGAAUGGCAGUGGAUACUGGCUCGCUAGAGUGUGUCAGGGGAUGGUGGAAUUCCCGGUGUAGCGGUGAAAUGCGUAGAGAUCGGGAGGAACAUCAGUGGCGAAGGCGGCCAUCUGGGACAACACUGACGCUGAGGCACGAAAGCGUGGGGAGCAAACAGGAUUAGAUACCCCAGUAGUCCCUGUCUCUUAUAC